UUGAAGGAGGGCAGCCCCAGCCCCACGCCGAUGGUGGCCUUGUUGGGGUUGACGACGGAGUUGUAGUGGAUGUUGCGGUGGUAGCUGACCCGGAUGGGCUCGUCCUCGUGGUGCUGGAUCCCGUGGAACGUGUUGAUGGGCUCUGCGGGGACACCCCGAAAGUGGCCCCGGGGACCCCCACCCACUCCCCCGGUACCCCACGGGUACGCAGGGAACCCCGAAACCGCACCUGGGGACCUACAGGGGUCCUCUGGCCACCCCUAGGGUAUAUAGGGACACCCCUGGAGACCCGUAACAACUGCCCAGAUACCCCAAGAGUAUAUAGGGACACCCCAAAAGUGGCCCCGGGGACCCCCAGACACUCCCCCAGUACCCUACAGGUACGCAGGGAACCCCAAAAGAGCAUCUGGGGACCUAUAGGAAUCCUCUGGCCACCCCUAGGGUAUAUAGGGACACCCCUAGGGUAUAUAGGGACACCCCUGGAGACCCGUAACAACUGCCCAGAUACCCCAAGAGUAUAUAGGGACACCCCGAAAGUGGCCCCGGGGACCCCCAGACACUCCCCCGGUACCCCACGGGUACGCAGGGAACCCCAAAACUGCACCUGGGGACCUAUAGGAAUCCUCUGGCCACCCCCCAGGUAUAUAGGGACCCCUAAAAGACCCCUGGGGACCCACAAAGACUCCCCAGGCACCCCGCAAACAUAUAGGGACCCCCAAAAGUGGCCCUGGGGACCCCCAGCCACUCCCCCGGUACCCUACAGGUACGCAGGGAACCCCAAAAGAGCAUCUGGGGACCUAUAGGAAUCCUCCGGCCACCCCUAGGGUAUAUAGGGACACCCCAAGGGUAUAUAGGGACACCCCAAAAGUGGCCCUGGGGACCCCCAGCCACUCCCCUGGUACCCUACGGGUACACAGGGAACCCCAAAACUGCACCGGGGGGCUUACAGGGGUCCUCCGGCCACCCCACAGGUUUAUAGGAACCCCCUAAAGAUCCGUAACAGCUGCCCAGCCACCCCAAGAGUAUAUAGGGACACCCCAAAAAUGGGCCUGGGGACCCCCAACCACUCCCCAGGUACCCCAUGGGUACAUAGGGAACCCCAAAACUGCACCGGGGGACCUACAGGU
rnacentral:lncRNA from 1 species